CAGUCGCCACGGUAAUACGAAGGGGGCUAGCGUUGCUCGGAAUGACUGGGCGUAAAGGGCGCGUAGGCGGUUUUGACAGUCAGAUGUGAAGUUCCUGGGCUUAACCUGGGGGCUGCAUUUGAGACGUCAAGACUAGAGUGUGAGAGAGGGUUGUGGAAUUCCCAGUGUAGAGGUGAAAUUCGUAGAUAUUGGGAAGAACACCGGUGGCGAAGGCGGCAACCUGGCUCAUUACUGACGCUGAGGCGCGAAAGCGUGGGGAGCAACAGGAUUAGAUACCCCUGUAGUCCCUGUCUCUUAUACA
rnacentral:rRNA from 1 species